AAGAAGGAAAAACAUUCGUAUAGUGGUCAGUGGAAAGACAUAUAGCACACAACCGCGCAACAGAUGCAAAUGGAGGUGUUGGUUUCUGAUUGGAUGCCAGUUGUGUCACCAAACUCAAAAGAGAAUCAAGCUUGCUUUCCAAAUUUCUAUCAGCAGCGGAGGAAGACUGGGCAGGCUCAUGAAACUGCAGCUGCUGUGGUUCCUGGACAGGUGGAGAAGGCAUACAAGGAGUCUGGAAUGUUGGUUCCUGAUAUUGACGAUGUUGAGUACCAUACCACCCCAGGCUAGGGUCAUUCCACCCAGGAUCGUUGCUAUAACCAUACCGCACAUGGGAGAAUUCGUCAAGAAAUGGAUGCUCAAGAUCUUCCCAACUGGUGAUGGAUCCUGGAGUAAGACAACAACACCAAUCCCUUGCCGCUCCAU
rnacentral:lncRNA from 1 species